rnacentral:lncRNA from 1 species
UUUUUUCUUCAGCAUUCUAGCUCCCUAAACGCUAGUGGUUGCCGUCCAAGCCUUCUUAACCUAGUAUAUAUGCUAUUUAUGUUAUUUUUGUUCAGUUUGUAUUGAUAAUUUUUCGUCUUUUGUUGUCCCUCUCUUUUCUCCCUACUCUUUCCUUCCUUCUUGUGCCGUCCAAUGUUAUUGUGAUCACCAUAGUUGUGUCAUCUCUCUUCAUCAAUUGUUGUGGCUGUCGUUUUCACUAUUGCUUUCUCCUUCUUUGUUCGUUUUGUUGCUUCCAUUUUCAGCACCUUUGCUGUCCAUUUUAGUCACCAUAGCUGCACCUCAUUGAGCCAAGAAUUAAUCUCUCUUUUACUCUCCAAUGCCGCCCUUGUGUUUCCCUCUUUUCCUCUUGUUUUCCCUUAGUGUUUGCUGCCAUUUUUAAUCGCUUAAACCGUCCCCUUGCUGCCACUUUCCAGCCCAUUUUUUGCCAUUUUUUCUGCGCCAAAAUUGUCCCUUUUUCUGUCCAUAUUAACCCUUUUGCUGCCGUUUAAUCUUCCUUUUGUGCCACACAUCACAGCCCUCAUUUUUGUUGUCAUUUAUUGCAUUGUCGCCCCUUAAACACCCUUUUUGUUGCUGUUUUUUUUCUUCUUAUUAUCGCACCUAUAGGCUGAUUUUAUUCCCUCAUUUUCAUUGAUUAAAUCAGCCCCUAAUCUUAAUCGUUUAGUGUGCAUUUGGGAUUAAGAGAUCUAUCAUCUCGGAUCUAGGAGACAAGAAGUGUAAGUGCUGUUUUUUUUUUUCAAAUCUAGUGCUGAAUUCCUUUCUUUUGAUUUUUUGCUUUGGUUGAAUGCUUCUAAGAUUUUAAUUGGAUGGUAAUCUGAAGUUGAUAUCACGGGGGAAGUGCCUGCUUCCUCAAUCCCCUGUAUAAGCUCACAACAUGAGAACAUACUCUGUUGUGGUAAGUGAAAAUUUCCAACCUUGUAGCCUCGAAAAACAUGGACAAGGGCAAGGCCCCUGUUAUUGAAUAGGCGAGCAGAUAUGGAAAGAUUCUUGAGGAUAAUUCAGAUGACUUGUUUGAUGAGUCUAAAACCAUCACAGAUUCUAGCUUUGGAGAAGACAUUUCCUUGAAGAGCAUGAUGAAAGCUAAUACCAAGUGUCCUAAUAUACCACUUUCUACAAGCUAGAGAAACAAGAAGUUAAAGGAAGCUAGGGUUCCAAAAUUUCUUGCUAAAGCUAUUGAGGCUGGUAGGACCAGGAAGAAAGGAUAUUGGAGAUGAGGUACAAGGUAUUUCUGGGUGUUGCAUGUUUGAAGAGGUAUGACUCUUAUCAAAAAUAAUUUUAAAGAACAGAACGUAGAGGAAAAUAGUUUUGUCGAUCAUGGUAUAUAUGUAAUUCUUGAAAAUUAUGCCUUAGAGACACUGUAAGCUUUGUAAAGCACUAUGUUCGCAAUGUGGUUACGAAUUUUUAUGCUAAUUUGCUUGGUAGUAUUUUU